rnacentral:lncRNA from 1 species
CGCAAACGGGCUUUGCAGGGCAGCUGGAGCCGGGCACGCUGGGCUCCCAAACCUCCCCAGCAACCCCCCACCCCCCCAUAUGGUGCAGGGUGCCCCCAGUCCCCUCCCCACAAGGAGGGGCAUCCCCAAAAAGCAGGGGCCGCGGAAAGCCGGGCGAUGCGCGCGUUGCCGCCGCCUCCUCCUCCUUUUUUAGCACCGCUUCCAUCGCUCGCAGCUCCCUCCUCCCCAUCCUGGCGCCCGCCGGGGGGAAUACCCACUGCGGCACGGAGGGGGGGAGGGAAAAAAAGACAUAUAUAUAUAAAAUGCAAUGAAAUAAAUAAAAGGAGGGGGGAGCUGGAGGAAGGGAGCCCUUCGGCCGGCACCCGCAGCCGGCUGCCCUGGGAGCAGCGCCGCCAGGAGGCCGAGGGGUGCCCGCGGAGGUGCGGUGCGAGGCGCAGGGCGCUGGGCAGCCCCCCCGGCGCUCACCUUGUCCAGCUCGUCGUGCAGCUCGGCCAGGCUGGGCCGGAUGAGCUUCUCGCCCAGGUCGGCGGCCGUGUGCCGGUAGUGGUCGAUGCGGGGCACGGCGUCCAUGGUGUUGUGGCCGAAGGUGCGCAGGUAGUAGGUGUUGGUGUGGGUGUCGUAGUAGUAGUGGUGGUGGCCGCCCGAGUGCAGGCUGCCCUCGCUCAGCACCGUGUCGCCGCCGUUCUGGAAGCUGACGUUGGCGCCCUCCGAGCUGCCGCCGCCGGGCUCGCCGGGGCUCUCGUCGCCGGCCGACGGGUCCACGAAGUUCACCCGAAAGCGCCCCUUGGCUUCCUCGCCGCCUUUCCCCGCCGCGCCGCCUUCCCCGCUCGCCCUGCGGGGCUCCGGCUCGGCCGGGCGCCCGGCGGCCUCGGCCACCAGGUCCACCUGGAAGCGGCUCUGGCUCGGCGUGGGUCCCAGCGGUCUGCCCAGCGCAUCGCCGCCGGCCGUGCCCGCAUCCUUCCCCUCCUCGCAGCGCGGAUCCUCACCCACCGCGCCCGGCACCUUCAGCUCGCCGGGGCCGGGUCCGAGCUGCUGCUGCUGCUGCUUUUGCUGCUGCUUCCCCUCCAUGGCUGCCCGCGGGCGAGCGCUACGCUCAGCAGCAGCGGCCCCGGCUGCUCUGACCGCCCCUCGCGGCGGCGGCGGCUCCGCUGCUUUAAGCCGCCAACCAGCGCCCGGGGCUGCAGCGCGCCGCAGACAACGCCAGGCGCCGCCCCGCCGCAGCGCCAGGUGAUGAUGCCGCCGGGCCGGCCGCCGCCCCCCGCCCGACCCCCGCCGCCGCCCCCUUCCUCUCCCUCG